ACAUAUAUAAAUUCAAUUGAGGCGUUGAAUAGGACUUUGAAAGAUAUUAAAAACAACGACAAUCUAUUUGGCGGCACUCUGUUAGUGCUUUCAGACAAACACUUCCCGUCAUUCCAUGUUCAACAUAUGCUGAUAAGAUUAACGCAUGCUUAAAAUCAACUCCAUUGUGGCGUUAUGUUGAAAAAGUACAGCUGAAAGAAAAUAUGCUAAAUAUGCAAAUGCUUCAAGAUCCAUCCGCUGAAACAUUCUCAAAACAACUCUUAGAUAUCAGUGAUGGGAAAGUUGCUACAGAUGAAAAUAGAUACGUAAAAUUACCGACCGAUUUCUGCACAAUCGCUGAUCCGCAAGAUACUCUCAUUCAACAAAUAUUUCCCGAUGUACACACACACAGUACAUAAAUCAAGAGUGGCUUGCAGAAAGAGCUAUUUUAGCAUAAAAAAUGCAGUUGUUGUCAGGGAACUUGGUAUCAUAUAAAUCUAUUGAUACAAUUUGCGAUGCCAGGGAAGUUGUCAAUUUUCCAACAGAAUUUUUGAACUCACCGGGUUUGUCAGGCAUAAUAUGCAAUUGAAGGUUGGAUCUCCAAUUAUUGUGCUUCGUAAUUUAAACCCGCCACGGCUGUGCAACGGUACGCGAUUAGUCAUUCAAAAACUGAUGAAAAACGUUAUCGAAGCCAGCAUUUUAAUAGCAAGUUCAAAGGUAAAAAUAUAUUAAAACCACGGAUUCCUAUCAUACCUACAGAUGUGCCAAUUCAAUUCAAACGAAUUCAGUUCCCCAAUAGAUUGGCAUUUACAAUGACAAUCAACAAAUCUCAAGGCCAAACGAUGUCUAUUUGUGGCUUAAAUGUUCUCGAGUGAGUAAACCAUCCAGUUUGUUUGUGCUCGCUAAAGAUGAACUCACAAAAAAUCUUGUUCACGCCAUAGUAUUAAAAGAUCACGCAUAUACCACAUACUUGCAUAGAAACUAGAAUUAAUUUAUAUGGCAAAACAACGUCUGUCGGGUCAGCUCGUAUAUAUAUAUAUAUAUAUAUUGGCCGUCACAAUAUUGAACAGCAAACUUACAAGGAAUCAAAAGUUACACAAAAUGACAACUAUUGAUACGGGAGGUUUGCCUUACAGUCGUUUACGACGUAGCAACUAAUAUCGACGGAUCAAAUGGAUGCGACAGAUUCUUCUAAAACAGGCGAGAAAUUCAGAAGAAAGGCAGCGGCAACAAUACAAAAAGUACAAUCUUAGAGUCGAGUAGAGAACGCGGCAGGGGGAGUCGAGUAGAGAACGCGGCAGAGGGGAGUCGAAUAGAGAACGCGGCAGAGGGGAGUCGAAUAGAGAACGCGGCAGAGGGAAGUCGAGUAGAGAAUGGGGGAAGUUGAGAUCGUGAAACAUAUAGUUUGUAUAAUUAGAGAAAUAAAUUAGAGAACUAAA